rnacentral:lncRNA from 1 species
CCAACACAUCAGCUCCCUGACCCACGUCCCUCCGACCCACAGUGGGCCCGUCAUCCAGGAUGUGGUGCUUGUUCGGGCUGUGCUUGCCGUGAAGAUGCUGCUAAUGCAGGCUGCGCUGCGUGGAAGGGUGGCCCUGGUCUGCAAGGGGAGGAGGGGUGAUGCUUGCACCACCUGUCUCUCCCCGGGCACACAGAACAGGGAGGAGAAGAGAGGCUGUGUGUAAGCAAACACCUGGGGAAACUGCAAGCGCUAGCUCCCCGGGCUGACUGUGCUCCCCUCUCGUCUUGUCAAAUGACCAUGGCUGACGGCACGUGAGAAGACAGCUGCCUUCAGACUUUGCGAAGGAGCUUUGCAUCCAGACCUCACCGUUUCAAAAGCUGCCCACGGAGGAAAGAACUCAAGUCCAGUGCGAGAGGCAGGGAGGGUGCGAGGCGGCAGCGCAGUGUACCACCUGCCCUGGUGACUGCAGCUUCGCAGGAAGUCUUGAAAUCGGACGGCGUGUGUCCUUCGACACAUUCUUCUCCUUCGAAGUUGUCGUGUGUAUUCCAGCACCUUGGCCUUCCCCAGAGCUUCACACUCACUGUGUCGAUCUCUACAAAACAGCCUGCUGGGAUGUUAACCGGACUGAGUUUAAUCUGUACACCAAUUUGGGGAGAACUGACCUCUUAGCAGUUUUGACUAUUCCAAUCCACGAAACAAUACAUGUCUCCAUUUAUGUAGGAAUUCUUUGAUUUCUUUCAUCUGUGUUUCAUAGUUUUCAGCAAACAGUUCUUGUGUGUAUUUUGUAGGAUUUGUGCCUAAGUAUUUCAUGAUUUUUG